rnacentral:rRNA from 1 species
AUUUAAAGUCUAGCCUGCCCAAUGAGGAUUUUAAUGGCCGCAGUAUUUUGACUGUGCAAAGGUAGCAUAAUCAUUAGUUUCUUAAUUAGAAACUGGAAUGAAAGGUUGGACGAGAAAAUAACUGUCUCUUUAUAAAUUUUUUAGAAGUUUAUUUUUAAGUUAAAAAGCUUAAAUGAUUUUAAAAGACGAGAAGACCCUAUAGAGUUUUAUUAAUUAUUUAAUAAAGUAUUAUUUUGAAUAUUAAAAUUUUUAUUUUUAGGAUUAAUUUGAUUGGGGUGAUUGAAAAAUUUAAUAAACUUUUUUUUAAUAAAAACAUUAAUUUAUGAAUAGUUGAUCCAUUAUUAUGAUUAAAAGAUUAAAUUACCUUAGGGAUAACAGCGUAAUUUCUUUCUAGAGUUCUAAUCGAUAAAGAAGGUUGCGACCUCGAUGUUGGAUUAAAAUUAAUUUAUGGUGUAGAAGCUAUAAUAUUAGGUCUGUUCGACCUUUAAAAUUUUACAUGAUCUGAGUUUAAACCGGUGUGAGCCAGGUUGGUUUCUAUCUUUAAAAAAUUUUUAUAUUUUAGUACGAAAGGACCAAAUAUUAUAAAAAUUUUAU